UGGGGAAUCUUGGACAAUGGGGGCAACCCUGAUCCAGCCAUGCCGCGUGAGUGAUGAAGGCCUUAGGGUCGUAAAGCUCUUUCGCCUGUGAAGAUAAUGACGGUAGCAGGUAAAGAAACCCCGGCUAACUCCGUGCCAGCAGCCGCGGUAAUACGGAGGGGGUUAGCGUUGUUCGGAAUUACGUGCGUAAAGCGCACGUAGGCGGACCAGAAAGUUGGGGGUGAAAUCCCGGGGGCUCAACCCCGGAACUGCCUCCAAAACUAUUGGUCUAGAGUUCGAGAGAGGUGAGUGGAAUUCCAAGUGUAGAGGUGAAAUUCGUAGAUAUUUGGAGGAACACCAGUGGCGAAGGCGGCUCACUGGCUCGAUACUGACGCUGAGGUGCGAAAGUGUGGGGAGCAAACAGGAUUAGAUACCCUGGUAGUCCACACCGUAAAACGAUGAAUGCCAGUCGUCGGGUAGCAUGCUAUUCGGUGACACACCUAACGGAUUAAGCAUUCCGCCUGGGGAGUACGGUCGCAAGAUUAAAACUCAAAUGAAUUG
rnacentral:rRNA from 1 species